AAAAACUAAAAUAAAAACAGAAAUAUAAAGCAGGAAGUGGUGCAUGUACCUGACAGUCUUUACACAACUUUGCAAUAGUUUCACAAAACUUAAAGAGUAGAGGAGAAAUACUACAGAUCGAAGCUCAGAUUCAGACAGGAGUGGACGAGUUCUGUGAAUUAUUAUUGUGGAAGGUGCUAAAAGAAGACCCUGGAAGUCAGAGGAUACGGGGUAUUUGGAUUGCAUUGUGAAAUGCUUACUUUCAUUCUGGCCCUGUGUCUGUGUGGAUUAUUUCACUCCAAUCAUGAUACAGUUUUUGUUUUAGCGUAACUCUACUGGCAGUGGCUGUGAAAUGGGGACGAGCAACUCCAGAACAAAGAUUUGCAAAGUAACACCAAAACAGGAACAGCCUUUACAUCAAACAGCCUCACCAAGGUUGAUCACUGCUGGGCAAUAUUUACCACAACACCAGCAGGGAAUUCGGGGACACCAGCAGAUCAGACAACUGCCACCACUCAAACAGCAUGUACCUCAGCUUGUUCAUUUACCAUCAGACUCACAGAAUGUACACGCUGAACCAAUACACAGCAUCAUCAAAUCUCAUCCACCACAAAAACCAAAGGCAUGGCAAGCUGUUGCAUGUCAAAUGGAGCUGGCAGCAACAUCUAAGGCUUCUGAUGAAAAUGUUACUAUGGAAUGGAGAAAUAGGGCUGUCACACUCCAAAAUUCCACUCCAUGUCAGGGAGGCGCUGUGGUGCAGGCAGUAGCCUACAGGAAGUAGUUUAUAGAAGAAGCACAAAGCAGACAGCUGGUGAGCACUGAGCCUUGCCCUGUUUUUCCCUGUGGGUCUGAUUACCAUGCUGCUGGAGUGGAAAGUAGCCUGGGCUGAAGCCACAGUGCUUCCUCCAUGGAAUCCACUCUGCUGGUACAAGUCCUCAUUCCUCUCAGGAAAAUCCUGAAGUAUGAACACUGAAAGAUAACUCUUUUAACUGGUCAUCAACAGGGCCCAACAUAAGAUUUUGCUUUUGUUUACACUAGAGUGUAUUAUAUGUAAACUUUUCCAGCAUUGAAAGAGAUUCCCUUAAGUGGGUUUAUGUAUUGCACAGACAAACCAUGGAAAGUUCCUGCAAGCACAGACACUCCUAAUUGGUCAAGCAACCAAGAAGCGUCAAUCCCGUCAGAAGCACCUUAGGGAGCGGAGAAUUUUUACUUUAAACAUUGCAGGAGCCUGUAAUGGGCAGACAGAAAGAACUAAUCUGGUGUCCAGGCCUACUCAGAGAGACAUCUUCUGGGAUCAGACAACAGGACAGAAUCUAGACCUCAGGGAGCUUCUGCAGCCAAGUCCUCACUUGACUGAUCCAGACACUGAAAUAGAAGAACUGCCAGGACGACAGAAUUUAGAAGUUGGACUAAAGGGUAAUUCGGAUGGUUUCUUUGGGUAUUUGAAUAACAGUGUAACAAAAUCGCCAAAAAGAUUAGGACAGCAGAUUUUACCUUGGCUUGAGGACUUUCGAAAGCAUGAGCGAAACCAUUUAAACUCUUGGGAUAUACUGGAGGGCCAGUGGGGACACCAUCAGUGGCUUGAUGCACCCAGGGAACAUUGUGAAAAGGAAGAAAGGGAAAAGGGAAGAAAUACUACAGGCCAGGUAAACGCUGUUUACCAAAAAUGGAAGUUGGAGAAAACCAAACAUAAAUUAAGAUACUGAUGUGAGUUUGGAGAUGCAACUGAAAAGCCAUGACUAACCUCAUUGGUUUUGACAUGAUGAUUUGAUGCACAUGGGUUCAGCGGAUAGGCUGUCUAAUGCUAAUAUAAUCUGACUAUGAAAGCUGUCUAAUGAAAGCAAAUAUUUUAAAUUGUACAUUAUUGACGUGUUUUGUCUGCAGCCUUGACCACUGAACACUGUUGUGUAAAUGCAUUAUUUGCUAAUGCAAACACAUUUCCAAGUGACGUGCUAAAGUCCAUUUGUGUUGUGAAAAUGUGACCCAUGUUUGAUAUUUAACUCUUUUAAUUUUAUGGCAAAUGAUUGAAAAUUAUUACAGUUCCAAAUAAAAUAACUAGAUGCAAUGACCAAAUACCAGGAACCACUUAAAAAUCAAAUGUUCCCUCUUAAGUAAGGCUUUAAUCCAAAUAUAAACCGUUGAUAUGCUGUGCGGGCAAAGCGCAGCUUCAUGGUGGCUCUCCUGUUCCCAGCCCUCCUGAAAACAAUGCUAGCUGCUGCUGAAUGGUUCCCAGCUGACAUAAUUAUCAUGAUAAAAUACACAUUCAUUUUGGUUGUACUGUGGUCUUUAUCCAGUAGAAAUAUGAAUUUAACACCGAUUCAAAUGAGUUGCUAAUUAGAAACCACAAAUAAAUCCAGUGUGGGAGUCGACUGAAGACAGGGUUGACUGAAGUAGUGGUGAAUAUGAUCUUAAACCAAAUUUCUCUGUAAUACAAAAUGUCAGAUGCAAAGCAACAUAAUGUUAAUUUUCUUCUCAGUCAGCUAAUAUUCACAUCGGAUAUGAGAAAACAACGAUACAAAAGUACACAGUAAUAAUCAAGCAAAGCAGGUAGCAAUAAAUCACGACACGUUUGCAAUAAAAAAAUCAAAUAAUUUAUUUAUACUUUUUAAACAAAGUCUGUUGUCCACUUGAAAUCAAAGAAAAUUUGCAAGAAAUGUUGUAAGAGGCAGAGGAAGAUGAAUGGGAUGACGAAACAUGUGGACCAUACUGUACGUCCCAACUCCAUGACUCCGUGAGGUGCAGGUCUCCUUUUUGUUUUGUUUUUUUCUUUUUUUUUUUUGUAAAUCAGAAGCAACUUAAAACCAGAUCACAAACACAACUGAAAUGUUUAUAGUGAAGAGCAGAUGCCCUGAUAAUUCCUUGACCAAAACAUCACACAUCAGGAUCAUGUCUGCUUUUAAGAAUGGUGUCAUAUGCAGCUAGGACCUGCCAGCUGUUGUCCUUUUGUAAAUGAACCUAUAAUAAAGAUCUUAAACGUUAAUAAAUGAAAUGAAUCAGUAACAAUGCAUCUGAAAGUGCAACUAUUCUAAACUAUUUUAGAAUUGUGGAUGCUCAUUUCAUAAAGCAUUGAUAAACCUAGGAAGAAACCAUGAACUAACGUAUGUAGAACUGCCCAGCUUCCAAACAGAUAUUAGUGUCUGUUCAGAUUGUAUUUUUUUUGUACCUAGAACAAAUUAGGCCCAAAGAGUUGGAGUUAUUUAACAGGCAUAUCUGUCAACAGUGGUGAAUGAUAAGAGGGGGCAUUUGCACAAUAACAGCUCACAUUUCCAUCUCUCAACAGCUAUUCAAGUCCUGAAGGAGCCCAACCCUUUACAUAAACAAGUGGAUUAUGAUUUUUAAUAAGAAUAGGGUCCUUUAAAAGAGCUUUUGUCAAGGAGAAGAGACCAAAAGGACAACUGGACACCAGAGCUGGUUUCUAAGGGGUAUACAGCAUCUCACUCUAUAACUGUUGUAUCCAAUGAAUUAAGGGUCAGUAUAAUUCAGCAUUACAUUUCUUAUUCAAUUUGGGUUCACAAAACUCUGUUUCUCGGCGAAGAAAAAAAAAAUCCAUCUGAUCAAUACUGUUGCACCUCUGUACAAAUAAAAGAAUCACAUUUUCCCCACCAAAAAUCUGCAUGUUUUAAAAAACAAAACAACAAAAACAGCAAAGCACAUCAGCCAGAAUCGCAAGAGAAAUCAGUAUUUAUAACAGAGGAACACACGGGGAAAAAAAAUUAAAAAUGAAAACUUCUACAUUGCAGUGUGGGGUCUAUAGUCAUCUACACUCUCAAUCAGUCUUUCAUUCCAACACCAUAUAAUAGUUCACACUGUAUACUGUGUACACUUUGUGAAACAACUUCACAAUGCAAAUUGUUGCAGAUCCUCCUCAGCACAAGUGGUUGCUAAUACAGAGUGAUGAGCUGCUUAUACUUUUAUGCUGCCCCCUGCUGUGAAACUAAAGCAGUGCCGGAGCUCAAGUAACUUCAGGCAAUGAGGAGAUGAUCCAAUUUUUUAUUUUUUGUAGUUUCUUCCUCCUAAAACAUAUGGCAUAUUAGCGUACAAGGCAUUCAUUUACCAAUUAACUACUGACUAUCACUGAUAAGUUGCACCUUUGGCAGUCUGUAAGUUAUGCAUUUCCAUACGUUUUUAAACACUUUGGACAGAUAGCUGUUUAGGAUGGGUACUCACUGGAGUAUUCACAAACAAGUUGGAAGUCUUUUAUUAUAUUAAGGGAAUUGCUAUCAGUGAUUCAUCUUCAUUAAUGUUAAAAGAUCCUGCAUGUUUAUAAAGAUGGGUGGCCAUUUUUUUCUUAAAUGCUAAUGGUGCUGAAUGGUGCAUAUGCCACAAAAUGACUGGAAGGGUUUCAACAAACGAGCUAUAAAUUAAAAAUUGAAAAGGGAAAAUAAAAUAAUCAAAUGCAUAAAAUAACACAGCACAUUAGAGAUCAGAUAAUGUGCACAGCUUGAUGAUUUCUCUUCUCAAGAAUAUCUGACAAACCAUUACUAGUUAUUCUCUGAAAAACAAGAAAAGUACCAGCCUGAAGUUAUGUCCCCCACGCGCUAAAGAAAGUAGUUUUAAUAGGAGAGAAGGAUUAUUCUGGCACAAAUUAGGUGCAGACAGUGAUUUCUGGUAAAAACUUACUGAAGCUGACUGGUGUGAGCAAUUCAAUGGCUUUGUAUGUAUGGUCUAUCUCUGAGUGCAAUGUGAUGUCUUCCUUUAGCAAGAAGUGCAUAUCUGGCUUAAGCAGCUGUAUUCCUACAGUGAAAAGAGCUUGGUCUGUUCAAAUAUAGGGACUAAAAUACACACAUAAAAGAAUACCCCCCCACACACACACACAAACACACACACACACACACACACACACACAAACCAAUCCUUCGACCUUUAACACAAUCAGAACAUCCCUAUGAACCCUCUUUUGAAGAAAGAAAAAAAAAAAAAAAAAGGAAGGAAGGAAAAAAAAUUAUUUGUUAGUGUAGCUUCUAUUUUUUUUUCCGUUUGUUUCUGUAUGUUUAAAUCAUUUUGACUGUAGAAGUUUAUUUUCCAUCCCUCAGUUACAAUUACUCAUAAAAAAUAAAAGUAUAGAGGGUGAUGCCUUGUUUGUAUUCUUUUAGCCUGAUCCAGUUCAACACGACUCCUUGAGGUGAUGCUAAUGUCCUGCAUUCACACAAUGACCUGCAAUCCGGCUUUUGGACAA